UACGUAGGGUCCAAGCGUUAUCCGGAAUCACUGGGCGUAAAGAGUACGUAGGCGGAUGUUUAAGUGCAAUGCGAAAUCCUGUGGCUCAACCAUAUGGACUGUAUUGCAUACUGGAUAUCUAGAGGAAUGCAGAGGCAAGUGGAAUUACCGGUGUAGCAGUGAAAUGCGUAGAGAUCGGUAGGAACACCAAUGGCGAAGGCAGCUUGCUGGGCAUUUUCUGACGCUAAGGUACGAAAGCGUGGGGAGCGAACAGG
rnacentral:rRNA from 1 species